AUUGAACGCUGGCGGCAGGCCUAACACAUGCAAGUCGAGCGAGCGGCGGACGGGUGAGUAAUGCCUGGGAAUUGCCCAGUCGAGGGGGAUAACAGUUGGAAACGACUGCUAAUACCGCAUACGAUUGGAUUGCCCAGGUGGGCUUAGCUAGUUGGUGAGGUGAUGGCUCACCAAGGCGACGAUCCCUAGCUGGUCUGAUAGGAUGGGAAGCCACACUGGAAUGGAGACACGGUCCGGACCCCUACGGGAGGCGAGGGUGGGGAAUGUUGCACUAGUGGGGGAGCCCUAAUGCAGACAAGCCGCGUAGGUGAAAGAGGCCUUGGGGUUGUGGUGCUCUUCCGGCUAGAUGGCGUUACUGGCAGAAUAAGCACCGGCUAACUCCGUGCCAGCAGCCGCGGUAAUAC
rnacentral:rRNA from 1 species